rnacentral:lncRNA from 1 species
AUGUCAUGGCUAGGAAGGCCCUUUGAACAGAGAUUGUCAGAGCUAGGAGGGACCUUAGAACCCAGAAUGUCAAAGAUGGGAGGGACCUUAGAACAGAGAAUGUCAGAGCUGAGAGGGAACUUAGAACAGAGAAUGUCAGAGCUGGGAGAGACCUUAGAACAGAGAAUGUUAGAGCUGGGAGAGACCUUAGAACAGAGAGUGUCAGAGCUGGGAGAGACCUUAGAAUCCAGAAUGUCAGAGCUGGGAGAGACCUUAGAACCCAGAAUUUCAGAGAAUGUCAGAGCUGGGAGAGACCUUAGAACCCAGAAUGUCAGAGCUGGGAGAGACCUUAGAACAGAGAAUGUCAGAGCUGGGAGAGAGCUUAGAACAGAGAAUGUCAGAGCUGGGAGGGACCUUAGAACAGAGAAUGUCAGAGCUGAGAGGGAACUUAGAACAGAGAAUGUCAGAGCUGAGAGGGAACUUAGAACAGAGAAUGUCAGAGCUGGGAGAGACCUUAGAACAGAGAAUAUCAGAGCUGAGAGGGAACUUAGAACAGAGAAUGUCAGAGCUGGGAGAGACCUUAGAACAGGGAAUGUCAGAGCUGGGAGAGACCUUAGAACAGGGAAUGUCAGAGCUGGGAGAGAGCUUAGAACCCAGAAUGUCAGAGCUGGGAGAGAGCUUAGAACAGAGAAUGUCAGAGCUGGGAGAGACCUUAGAACCCAGAAUGUCAGAGCUGGGAGAGACCUUAGAACAGAGAAUGUCAGAGCUGGGAGAGACCUUAGAACAGACAAUGUCAGAACUGGAAGGAAGCUUAGAACCCAGAAUGUUAGAGCUUGGAGAGAGCUUAGAACAGAGAUUGUCAGAGCUAGGAGGGACCUUAGAACCCAGAAUAUGAGAGUUAGGAGGAAGCUUAGAACUCAGAAUGUCAGAACUGGGAGAGUCCUUAGAGCAGAGAAUGUCGGAGCUGGUGGGGAGUUUAGAACCCAAAAUGUCAGAGCUGGAAGAGACCUUAGAACAGAGGAUUUCAAAGCUGGGAGAAACCUUAGAACCCAGAAUGUCAGAACUGGGAGGGAACUUAGAACUGGGAGAAGUCUUAAAACAGAGAGCGUCAGAACUGGGAGAAGACUUAGAACAGAGACUAUCAGAGCCUGA